rnacentral:rRNA from 1 species
UACGGGGGGGGCUAGCGUUGUUCGGAAUUACUGGGCGUAAAGGGCGCGUAGGCGGCCUACUAAGUCGGACAUGAAAUCCCUUGGCUUAACUGAGGAAGUGCCUCGGAAACGGCAAGACUUGAGUUCUGGAGAGGAUCGUGGAAUUCCCGGUGUAGCGGUGAAAUGCGUAGAUAUUGGGAGGAACACCGGUGGCGAAGGCGGCCCCCUGGACCGGUACUGACGCUGAGGCGCGAAAGCGUGGGUAGCAAACGGG